CCGUUCGGCUACUACCUUGCCGCCCUCCAACGCCCAGCACGCCGCCCCUUCAGCGCCCAGUGCGGCCGCCACCUGCAACCCCCCCUUCCCUCCUCCCACCCCCAUCUCAACCCCCGUACGAUCUGCCGCUUCCUCGACCUGCCUCGGUGCCGCUUCGUCGGUGUUCAGCUCCGGCACCUACAUCCUGAAGGAGUACAAUCUCGUGUCUGGAUGGCGACGGGCAUGUUGACCAUAUACCUGCACUAUGAAGAUACAAAUCAGGAAGCCAAAAUUUUACAAUGAUCCAUGAUGAGGCGUCAUGUCUCAUAUUAUGAUUUAAUCUUGAUGAUCGAGGAAGUUGGCUUUCAGGCAAUUGACUUUCUGUACUAUGCGGAAAAAAACCCGUCUAGGCAGCUCCUACUUAGUUCACAUUUACGAUCCCUUUCUGUACCUUGUUAUUGAUUAUGUCCUAGAGGUGAGGGAAACGAGGGAUCUUACGGGUGAAUCUGUUUCAAGACCGAACCAGCAAGGGACUAGAACUGAACACCCACACCCAGCUCGCUCAAAAAGAAGACGCACUUCUUCCAUCAAGGCUGCCUCCAAAGUAGUUUUAAAGACUUCAACAUAUCCCAACAAGAGGAAUGUUGCGUAUGGUACUAUUCGGAGUAAUGAUCCAAGAACUAAGGUUGGUGGUAUUGAGUUAGGUGUUGAAUUUGCCCUUGUGCGCAUAGAUCAACCUAUAGUUGAUAAUGAGGAGUUGGUAAGGGAAGUUUCUGAUUGCAAGACAUUUAGUGAGGCUUUCACUUCAUGAUACUUAACUGCCUGGCCUUCAACUUUUAUUCAAGAGAAGGAUAGUUGAGUUGCAGCUGAAUUCUUGGAUCAAGAAUCAAACAAAAUUUGAAGAUUUUAGCUACAAAUAGUUGCAGUUUACAUUGAUAGAUUUGAAAUUGUAAUAUCAUCCACAAGAUAUUUUUCUUUCGCCGAAUUA